rnacentral:rRNA from 1 species
GGGUUGUGAGGUUAAGCGACUAAGCGUACACGGUGGAUGCCCUGGCAGUCAGAGGCGAUGAAGGACGUGCUAAUCUGCGAUAAGCGUCGGUAAGGUGAUAUGAACCGUUAUAACCGGCGAUUUCCGAAUGGGGAAACCCAGUGUGUUUCGACACACUAUCAUUAACUGAAUCCAUAGGUUAAUGAGGCGAACCGGGGGAACUGAAACAUCUAAGUACCCCGAGGAAAAGAAAUCAACCGAGAUUCCCCCAGUAGCGGCGAGCGAACGGGGAGCAGCCCAGAGCCUGAAUCAGUGUGUGUGUUAGUGGAAGUGUCUGGAAAGGCGCGCGAUACAGGGUGACAGCCCCGUACACAAAAAUGCACAUGCUGUGAGCUCGAUGAGUAGGGCGGGACACGUGGUAUCCUGUCUGAAUAUGGGGGGACCAUCCUCCAAGGCUAAAUACUCCUGACUGACCGAUAGUGAACCAGUACCGUGAGGGAAAGGCGAAAAGAACCCCGGCGAGGGGAGUGAAAAAGAACCUGAAACCGUGUACGUACAAGCAGUGGGAGCCCUGAUUUAUCAGGGUGACUGCGUACCUUUUGUAUAAUGGGUCAGCGACUUAUAUUCUGUAGCAAGGUUAACCGAAUAGGGGAGCCGGAGGGAAACCGAGUCUUAACUGGGCGUUAAGUUGCAGGGUAUAGACCCGAAACCCGGUGAUCUAGCCAUGGGCAGGUUGAAGGUUGGGUAACACUAACUGGAGGACCGAACCGACUAAUGUUGAAAAAUUAGCGGAUGACUUGUGGCUGGGGGUGAAAGGCCAAUCAAACCGGGAGAUAGCUGGUUCUCCCCGAAAGCUAUUUAGGUAGCGCCUCGUGAAUUCAUCUCCGGGGGUAGAGCACUGUUUCGGCAAGGGGGUCAUCCCGACUUACCAACCCGAUGCAAACUGCGAAUACCGGAGAAUGUUAUCACGGGAGACACACGGCGGGUGCUAACGUCCGUCGUGAAGAGGGAAACAACCCAGACCGCCAGCUAAGGUCCCAAAGUCAUGGUUAAGUGGGAAACGAUGUGGGAAGGCCCAGACAGCCAGGAUGUUGGCUUAGAAGCAGCCAUCAUUUAAAGAAAGCGUAAUAGCUCACUGGUCGAGUCGGCCUGCGCGGAAGAUGUAACGGGGCUAAACCAUGCACCGAAGCUGCGGCAGCGACACUGUGUGUUGUUGGGUAGGGGAGCGUUCUGUAAGCCUGUGAAGGUGUGCUGUGAGGCAUGCUGGAGGUAUCAGAAGUGCGAAUGCUGACAUAAGUAACGAUAAAGCGGGUGAAAAGCCCGCUCGCCGGAAGACCAAGGGUUCCUGUCCAACGUUAAUCGGGGCAGGGUGAGUCGACCCCUAAGGCGAGGCCGAAAGGCGUAGUCGAUGGGAAACAGGUUAAUAUUCCUGUACUUGGUGUUACUGCGAAGGGGGGACGGAGAAGGCUAUGUUGGCCGGGCGACGGUUGUCCCGGUUUAAGCGUGUAGGCUGGUUUUCCAGGCAAAUCCGGAGAAUCAAGGCUGAGGCGUGAUGACGAGGCACUACGGUGCUGAAGCAACAAAUGCCCUGCUUCCAGGAAAAGCCUCUAAGCAUCAGGUAACAUCAAAUCGUACCCCAAACCGACACAGGUGGUCAGGUAGAGAAUACCAAGGCGCUUGAGAGAACUCGGGUGAAGGAACUAGGCAAAAUGGUGCCGUAACUUCGGGAGAAGGCACGCUGAUAUGUAGGUGAAGCGACUUGCUCGUGGAGCUGAAAUCAGUCGAAGAUACCAGCUGGCUGCAACUGUUUAUUAAAAACACAGCACUGUGCAAACACGAAAGUGGACGUAUACGGUGUGACGCCUGCCCGGUGCCGGAAGGUUAAUUGAUGGGGUCAGCGCAAGCGAAGCUCUUGAUCGAAGCCCCGGUAAACGGCGGCCGUAACUAUAACGGUCCUAAGGUAGCGAAAUUCCUUGUCGGGUAAGUUCCGACCUGCACGAAUGGCGUAAUGAUGGCCAGGCUGUCUCCACCCGAGACUCAGUGAAAUUGAACUCGCUGUGAAGAUGCAGUGUACCCGCGGCAAGACGGAAAGACCCCGUGAACCUUUACUAUAGCUUGACACUGAACACUGGUCCUUGAUGUGUAGGAUAGGUGGGAGGCUUUGAAGUGUGGACGCCAGUCUGCAUGGAGCCGUCCUUGAAAUACCACCCUUUAAUGGCUGGUGUUCUAACGUUGGCCCCUUACCGGGGUUGCGGACAGUGUCUGGUGGGUAGUUUGACUGGGGCGGUCUCCUCCUAAAGAGUAACGGAGGAGCACGAAGGUUGGCUAAUCCUGGUCGGACAUCAGGAGGUUAGUGCAAUGGCAUAAGCCAGCUUGACUGCGAGCGUGACGGCGCGAGCAGGUGCGAAAGCAGGUCAUAGUGAUCCGGUGGUUCUGAAUGGAAGGGCCAUCGCUCAACGGAUAAAAGGUACUCCGGGGAUAACAGGCUGAUACCGCCCAAGAGUUCAUAUCGACGGCGGUGUUUGGCACCUCGAUGUCGGCUCAUCACAUCCUGGGGCUGAAGUAGGUCCCAAGGGUAUGGCUGUUCGCCAUUUAAAGUGGUACGCGAGCUGGGUUUAGAACGUCGUGAGACAGUUCGGUCCCUAUCUGCCGUGGGCGCUGGAGAACUGAGGGGGGCUGCUCCUAGUACGAGAGGACCGGAGUGGACGCAUCACUGGUGUUCGGGUUGUCAUGCCAAUGGCACUGCCCGGUAGCUAAAUGCGGAAGAGAUAAGUGCUGAAAGCAUCUAAGCACGAAACUUGCCCCGAGAUGAGUUCUCCCUGAGACCUGGAGUCUCCUGAAGGAACGUUGAAGACGACGACGUUGAUAGGCCGGGUGUGUAAGCGCAGCGAUGCGUUGAGCUAACCGGUACUAAUGAACCGUGAGG